GACGAACGCUGGCGGCGUGCCUAAUACAUGCAAGUAGAACGCACAGGAUGCACCGUAGUUUACUACACCGUAUUCUGUGAGUUGCGAACGGGUGAGUAACGCGUAGGUAACCUGCCUGGUAGCGGGGGAUAACUAUUGGAAACGAUAGCUAAUACCGCAUAAGAACAUUUACUGCAUGGUAGAUGUUUAAAAGGUGCAAGAGCAUCACUACCAGAUGGACCUGCGUUGUAUUAGCUAGUUGGUGAGGUAACGGCUCACCAAGGCAACGAUACAUAGCCGACCUGAGAGGGUGAUCGGCCACACUGGGACUGAGACACGGCCCAGACUCCUACGGGAGGCAGCAGUAGGGAAUCUUCGGCAAUGGGGGGAACCCUGACCGAGCAACGCCGCGUGAGUGAAGAAGGUUUUCGGAUCGUAAAGCUCUGUUGUUAAGGAAGAACGUGUGUGAGAGUGGAAAGUUCACACAGUGACGGUACUUUAACCAGAAAGGGACGGCUAAUUACGUGCCAGCAGCCGCGGUAAUACGUAGGUCCCGAGCGUUGUCCGGAUUUAUUGGGCGUAAAGCGAGCGCAGGUGGUUUAGAUAAGUCUGAAGUGAAAGGCAUGGUCUCAACCAUUGUUAGGCUUUGUAAACUGUUUAAACUUGAUGUGCAGAAGGUGAGAGUGUGUGUUCUAUGUUGUUGCGGUGAAUUUGGGUAUAUAUAUGGGAGUAACACCGUGUGGCGUAUGUUGUUUUUUUUGUUCUGUUAACUGAUGCUUGAGGCUUCUUGAUUGUUGUUGAUUGAAUUUUGAUUUGUGUUUCCUUGUUUUUCCAUGUGUUAAUGUCCAUGGGGGGAUGUUGAUGUUUGUGGGUUGGGUUGUCUUCUAGUGUGGUGCCUGUAUCAAAAUUUUUAUAACAAUAUUAAUCAUGAUUAUUGUUCUGCUUCUUUUCCUUUUCCUGUG
rnacentral:rRNA from 1 species